AGCGAACGCUGGCGGCAGGCCUAACACAUGCAAGUCGAACGAACUCUUCGGAGUUAGUGGCGGACGGGUGAGUAACACGUGGGAACGUGCCUUUUGGUUCGGAAUAACUCAGGGAAACUUGUGCUAAUACCGAAUGUGCCCUUCGGGGGAAAGAUUUAUCGCCAUUAGAGCGGCCCGCGUCUGAUUAGCUAGUUGGUGAGGUAACGGCUCACCAAGGCGACGAUCAGUAGCUGGUCUGAGAGGAUGACCAGCCACACUGGGACUGAGACACGGCCCAGACUCCUACGGGAGGCAGCAGUGGGGAAUCUUGCGGAAUGGGCGAAAGCCUGACGCAGCCAUGCCGCGUGAAUGAUGAAGGUCUUAGGAUUGUAAAAUUCUUUCACCGGGGACGAUAAUGACGGUACCCGGAGAAGAAGCCCCGGCUAACUUCGUG
rnacentral:rRNA from 1 species